rnacentral:rRNA from 1 species
AAGCCAUGCAUGUCUCAGUAUGAGUGCUUCUACGGCGAAACUGCGAAUGGGUUACGGUUUAUUUGAUGACUUGUGACACGGAUAACUGGGGAAAUUCUUCAGCCAAUACGUGCUUCUAAGCCGGCUUUGUGGAAGGUGAGUAUUUGCUCGAUUCUGAACCAACCCAGAUCUUCUGGGCUUUAAGUUGAGCGGAGAGUAAAUCUGUCCAAUCGCAUUGCACCGCGAUGCGAUGCAUCAUUCAAGUUUCUGACCUAUCAGCUUCCGAUUAUAGGGUAUUGGCUUACCAUGGCGAUGACGGGUAACAGCGAAUUUGGGUUCAGUUCUGGAGAGGGAGCCUGAGAAACGGCUACCACAUCUAAGGAAGGCAGCAGGCGCGUAACUUACCCAAUUCUGACACGGAGAGGUAGUGACAAGAAAUAACGAUACAGGGCAUUCAUGUCUUGUACUUGGGCUGAGUAGAAUGUAAACGACUCUAUGAGUAUCAAUUGGAGGGCAAGUCUGGUGCCAGCAGCCGCGGUAACUCCAGCUCCAAUAGCGUAUAUUGAAGUUGUUGCGGUUAAAAAGCUCGUCGUUGGAUUUCUGUUGAGGUCGAACAGUGCCGCCCUAUGGGUGCGCAACUGGCUCGGCUUCGGCAUCUUCUUGGAGAGCGUACCUGCACUUAACUGUGUGGAUCGUAC